rnacentral:rRNA from 1 species
CCUACGGGAGGCAGCAGUGAGGAAUAUUGGUCAAUGGGCGGAAGCCUGAACCAGCCAAGUAGCGUGCGGGAUGAAGGCCCUACGGGUCGUAAACCGCUUUUGCACGGGGAUAACACCCUCCACUUGUGGAGGUCUGCAGGUACCGUGCGAAUAAGGGCCGGCUAAUUCCGUGCCAGCAGCCGCGGUAAUACGGAAGGCCCGAGCGUUAUCCGGAUUCAUUGGGCUUAAAGGGAGCGUAGGCGGUCUGUUAAGUCAGCGGUCAAAGCCCGGGGCUCAACCUCGCCGAGCCGUUGAAACUGCUCUUCUAGAGUGGGCGAGAAGUAUGCGGAAUGCGUGGUGUAGCGGUGAAAUGCAUAGAUAUCACGCAGAACUCCGAUUGCGAAGGCAGCAUACCGGCGCCCAACUGACGCUCAUGCACGAAAGCGUGGGUAUCGAACAGGAUUAGAUACCCGAGUAGUC